rnacentral:rRNA from 1 species
AAAAUCCGGGAUUCUAAGGCCGAGAGCUGAUGACGAGUGUACUUUUAGUACACGAAGUGGUUGAUGCCAUACUUCCAAGAAAAGCUUCUAAGCUUCAGGUAACCAGGAACCGUACCCCAAACCGACACAGGUGGUUGGGUAGAGAAUACCAAGGCGCUUGAGAGAACUCGGGUGAAGGAACUAGGCAAAAUGGCACCGUAACUUCGGGAGAAGGUGCGCCGGUGAGGGUGAAGCAUUUACUGCGUAAGCCCAUGCCGGUCGAAGAUACCAGGCCGCUGCGACUGUUUAUUAAAAACACAGCACUCUGCAAACACGAAAGUGGACGUAUAGGGUGUGACGCCUGCCCGGUGCCGGAAGGUUAAUUGAUGGGGUUAGCUAACGCGAAGCUCUUGAUCGAAGCCCCGGUAAACGGCGGCCGUAACGAUAACGGUCCUAAGGUAGCGAAAUUCCUUGUCGGGUAAGUUCCGACCUGCACGAAUGGCGUAACGAUGGCGGCCUGUCUCCACCCGAGACUCAGUGAAAUUGAAAUCGCUGUGAAGAUGCAGUGUAUCCGCGGCUAGACGGAAAGACCCCGUGAACCUUUACUAUAGCUUUGCACUGGACUUUGGAUUUGCUUGUGUAGGAUAGGUGGGAGGCUUUGAAGCGUGGACGCCAGUUCGCGUGGAGCCAACCUUGAAAUACCAGCCUGGCAACUUUGAGGUUCUAACUCAGGUCCGUUAUCCGGAUCGAGGACAGUGUAUGGUGGGUAGUUUGACUGGGGCGGUCUCCUCCUAAAGAGUAACGGAGGAGUACGAAGGUGCGCUCAGACCGGUCGGAAAUCGGUCGUAGAGUAUAAAGGCAAAAGCGCGCUUGACUGCGAGACAGACACGUCGAGCAGGUACGAAAGUAGGUCUUAGUGAUCCGGUGGUUCUGUAUGGAAGGGCCAUCGCUCAACGGAUAAAAGGUACUCCGGGGAUAACAGGCUGAUACCGCCCAAGAGUUCAUAUCGACGGCGGUGUUUGGCACCUCGAUGUCGGCUCAUCACAUCCUGGGGCUGAAGCCGGUCCCAAGGGUAUGGCUGUUCGCCAUUUAAAGUGGUACGCGAGCUGGGUUUAGAACGUCGUGAGACAGUUCGGUCCCUAUCUGCCGUGGACGUUUGAGAUUUGAGAGGGGCUGCUCCUAGUACGAGAGGACCGGAGUGGACGAACCUCUGGUGUUCCGGUUGUCACGCCAGUGGCAUUGCCGGGUAGCUAUGUUCGGAACAGAUAACCGCUGAAAGCAUCUAAGCGGGAAACUAGCCUCAAGAUGAGAUCUCACUGGGACCUUGAGUCCCCUGAAGGGCCGUCGAAGACUACGACGUUGAUAGGUUGGGUGUGUAAGCGCUGUGAGGCGUUGAGCUAACCAAUACUAAUUGCCCGUGAGGCUUGACC